UUACUAAUGAUGAUAUUCAUAAAAUUAUUCAAUUUUUUACCAUUUUUCGGGUUUUUCCCUUAUUCUUUUCGUAAUAUGAUAUUCGUCGUCUAUCGUAUUCUCUCGCGCGGCUGAGAGAAUAGUCGUCAGGGAAUGAGGAAAUGGGGGUGGAUUAAACUUCAUUACACAUUCGCAACUUGGAGACGGUUUGCUGAGCUUGAGGUUAUGUAGAUGUGAGCUGAGUAAGGAGUUGACUGUUAAAAGUUGUGUAAUUUAGGAUAUAGGAAGGUCUAGAUGGGCGGGAAAAUUUACGGGUUGUCCUGUGCUGGGGAAAAAAUUUAGUGGUGGUCCCUUAGAAUCGCUUAGAAUCGCUUUAACGUGGAAAACCCAUUCCUAUCAUCAGCGGCCCGCCGGCCCCAGCCGGCCCCACACCCGUUGAUUAAUCAGGCAUCUUGGCCUGAGUUUUGGACUGCUCAUCCGGUUCUUUUCCAGCAGUCGCACACAGCCGGGCUUAUUCCAUAUUGAGGAUCACCAAAGGUGCGCAGAGUAACGAGAUGGGAUUACAUCAGUUGGGAGAUCAUUUAUUGUUGCGCAAUAAGCGACGAAAGACGGGCGAAGACGGGCGAAGAGACUAAUACCCGCUAAUAACGAGCUUCUUUUUUCUCGCAAGAGAGUCUCUUAACAAUUACAAGACACAGUGGAGUGCUAGGUGUAAUAUAACAUGAACGCAACAUGAAUCGCAAUUCAAAUCAAUUGAUUCUUAAUAUUUUACGCCCUGUCUUAAACUGUUAGUACCUACAUUUAUGAUAUUUCUCACUAAGAUGUAUACGUCAUCAGGAGUUGUCUUUAAAUUAAACUUACCCCACCCACUUUGCCCGUUGUUUUAUCGAUUCUGCCAUGUAAUCCGUCUAUAAUAGUGGUAGGUGUUUUAUUUCACACCCGCUGCAGCACCCUCAGGUGUUUUGGGUGGUUUUGGGUUUCUUUCUUAUAGUUUCUUUGGUUUGUUCCCUAAUAUAGAUGUGCAAUACCCGCUAGUCGAGCAGCAGUACGUGUCAAACCUCAGUGUGGUUUUCCCUGAUUUCCUAUUCUCUGUCUCUCUGCCAGCCAGCGCAGCCAGUCUGAAUCUGAAUCAUUGUUGGUUAGACUUUUUUAAAAGUGUGCAGGUGUGUUUGCGGCUUGGCGCUUUAAAGACGUCGUUAAAGACGGUCAGAGAAAGACGAGAAAGAGAAUGUUCCUCGUGGAUGGCAUGUUCUGUGUAACAGCUGGAACUUUGUAAUUUAUCAUGAUAGGCCCUACUUACAUGCGCAUAUGUGGCUGGACUGGGCUGGGUAUUCUCAACAAUCCGUAAGUUAAGCCGAAAUCGUCUCUUGUUAUCGAAAAAUCUAAUUUCAUUUUGUGUACAGUUCCGUUUUGAAAUUGAGUUAUUAUACGAGGCUUGAUGUGUUCAAAUCUUUUUUAGUUUUACAGUCGACUCCAAUUUAAUGAAUUCUUAGUCUUAUUAGAUUCGGUGCUUGCUGUCGCUUGCUGUACAGUAUUCAAUAGUGAUUACAAUAGUGUUUAUAACAGCCUUGCUGAAAUUUCAUCUAAAUUUUACAGUGUGUACAGGCUAUUACGAAUGCUUGCCAUUAUUUAUAUCUUGUAUUUAAGUUAAUAACAUGAUACUGAUUAAAUACGGAAAGACCAUAAAUCAACGCCGUAUGAUAAAGAACAGCUUUUCUCUGGGUUCGUUGGCCAGAAUACAAAAUACUGUUUUGCAUGUAGCUGCAAGGAAAAAUGCAGUUAAUAUGUUGGAAAUGUUUGGAACAAUACGUGUGCUUGUUAACUGAUUGAUAAUUAUUAGCUGGAAUAGAGCCGUUGAAACCCUCAUGUUAAUUUGGAGCAGCGAAAAUGCGACGUUGAUUCGACCGGCAUUUUAUAAAUGGGUGUGAACAAAACCCGUGAAUUUUCCUCAAUGACAAUCAAGAGAAUUUUUCUAAGAUCUACAUUUACAGUGAUUCUACCAGCAGUGACAGUGACUACAGUUCCAACUUCACAACACUUCUUACUUCCACAACAACCUGCACCACAUCCACAACCUCUUUAACUGCGUGUCCUGCUCCUGUCUCCUGUCCCGGACGUCGUCGUCGUGCGAUCUCGAAAAGCCCAGGAUUCUUACACAACGAGAACGAAGAAAACCGAAAAACAGCAGAAUUUCCCUUUCGCCUUCAGCACCAGUCCAAAACUCUUUUCAAGAAAUGAGAAACACUUCGGUCGACCUGAUCUAAUAAAAGAGCACAGUAGCUGAAAUCCCAGCAUUAGUAAUCGAAUCAAGUCUGUUGAAACAAUCCUUCCGCCCCAAACGUCCACCUUGACCUUCGUAACGUCCGUAACGGCACAUCGACGGUAACACAGUGCUUACAGUGCUACACCAACAUUCGGCUCAAGUAGAUGUCCAGAUGCACACUAGAUGGUAGUUCAGUGCACAACCCUACUGCUAUGCAUCAGCAAGGACAGGUGUGUUGUGUCGUUUGGUCGUUUCCCCGUUUGAGAUGACAUUUGAAGUGCAGCUAAGUUGAAUUUAUUUGAAAAUCUUUUCUUCAAAUAAGGAAAAAGUAUGAUGUAUUGACUACUGAUGUAUUUAAUGCAGCCUUUUGCCAACGAAUCACGUGAAACAAUCGAUUCAUUUAAAUUUUUUGUUAGGAUAUGCAAGUUUUAAAAAUGCAAUCCAAGAUGUCUGGGGCUCUGGGCGGGAAUGGAUGAGCAGCUCCACUUUAGAGCCUAGCGCGGACCGGGGUGGCCUUGGCCUUGACGACUUCGGGUGUGUCCUGGAUCUGGGCGGGCGCUACCAAAUCGGCGAUGGGAGCGACGGGCAAGUCGUUGGAUUGAACGCGGCACUGUAUCCGUAAAACUGCAUGAGCUUGGGCGGCAAUAGCCAACACCAACUAUACGACCUUCUUCAGACUUGUUUUGUAUUCUGUAAACAGCCCGUUUUAUUAAUUUACAGUAAUAACACGCAGUUGAAUGUUACUGAUGUAAUGAAAACAUAAACGCAAUAUAGAAAUUCAUUUUUUAAAGUAAUUGAUUCCAAUUAUUUUGUGCUCUUCUUUCAGUAUUUGUUGUAAAGUGAAUAUAUGUUUCGAAACAUCUUUGAAAAACGUCCGAGAAAAAAGUUUGACUUACGGUCAUAGCAGAAUAAUCUAUUGAUUUUUUGAGUUAUAAAAAUUGAAAAUUAAUUUGCGAAUUUCUUGUGUGCAUUUGCAAGAAGCAAAACUGUAGAAGUCCCCUUCUUUGACGAAAAAACAACAAAGAAAUUAAACCCACCUUGAUUAUUAUUUAGCUAUUAUAGUCAUAAAAACGACUCGCAAAGCAAAGACCCUGUAAUUUUCAAUUCUUUGAUUUUGCACGCAGCCCCUUCCAAUCGAGUUGGGUCUGUAUCAGCUAGCGCGCACAAAACAUAAUUUCCUUUACUGUUUGUUUGGGCUACACUAGAAACGCGUUAAGCCUGACAUUGCAGUGAGAAUAUAAUCUACCGGUACAGGCCUACACGACUCCGUAGCCAUCAUUAUUUGCUACAUAUUUUCUUGUUUAAAAAGCCAGCGCCUUCCUUUCAUAAAAUAACCAAGAGUUUUGCGUUUUCAUGGUAAGUUUGCCCUAUAUCCGGUCGUUUACAACUUCCCAUCUUUCUCUAACCCCCUUCUAAAAAAACUAUAAUAAAGGAAAGGCAAAGCGAUCUAGUCAUCCUCUUUCAUUAAUGAAUUAUGAAAAUAGAAUAAAAAUUAAAUGCAAAUCACAACAAGUAUUAUCACCAGGCGUAAAAGAGAUAUGAAAAUAUUAUAUAAAA
rnacentral:lncRNA from 1 species